CGGACGGGUGAGUAAUGUCUGGGAAACUGCCCGAUGGAGGGGGAUAACUACUGGAAACGGUAGCUAAUACCGCAUAACGUCGCAAGACCAAAGAGGGGGACCUUAGGGCCUCUUGCCAUCAGAUGUGCCCAGAUGGGAUUAGCUAGUAGGUGGGGUAAUGGCUCACCUAGGCGACGAUCCCUAGCUGGUCUGAGAGGAUGACCAGCCACACUGGAACUGAGACACGGUCCAG
rnacentral:rRNA from 1 species